rnacentral:lncRNA from 1 species
UACUGUCGAUACCUCGUGUCAUCAUGGUGACACACCCUCGCAGGUCUCGGUAACACAAGGUUGACACGAGCCACCUUUCUGGCAAGAUUCAGGAAAUCCGCAUUCCUCGCUCCCACAGUCCGGAUAUCCCUAAGACUCUUGGGGCAACUAUCAAGUAUGUUGACCUAAUCAAGAGCAACUGAUUUAUUAUGCUUGGGUACCUAGGGUGGUUUUAAGAAAAUAUGAUUUUCCUGAAAAAGAUUGGAAUUUAUAAACUACCUCUUAACUAACCUGAAAUCUUGCUGCCAUCUAAUCC